rnacentral:rRNA from 1 species
GACGAACGCUGGCGGCGUGCCUAAUACAUGCAAGUAGAACGCUGAAGGCGGAGCUGGCUUCUCUGGAUGAGUUGCGAACGGGUGAGUAACGCGUAGGUAACCUGCCUGGUAGCGGGGGAUAACUAUUGGAAACGAUAGCUAAUACCGCAUAAUAGUAGAUGUUGCAUGACAUUUGCUUGAAAGGUGCAAUUGCAUCACUACCAGAUGGACCUGCGUUGUAUUGGCUAGUGGGUGGGGUAACGGCUCACCAAGGCGACGAUACAUAGCCGACCGGGGAGGGGGAUCGGCCACCCUGGGAGGGAGACGCGGCCCAUACGCCUACGGGAGGCAGCAGUACGGAAUCUUCGGCAAUGGACGGAAGUCUGACCGAGCAACGCCGCGUGAGUGAAGAAGGUGUCCGGAUCGUAAAGAUCUGUUGUAAGAGAAGAACGGGUGUGAGAGUGGAAAGUUCAUACUGUGACGGUAUCUGACCAGAAAGGGACGGCUAACUACGUG